rnacentral:antisense_RNA from 1 species
AGUAACUGGCAUUUGGUUAUGGGGUGGCUGUUUUUCUACGUGGAACAAGCAGGGUCCCAGUUCAAGUUUCUGCUGCGUAUCUGAUAAUCUUGAGAUUAAUGACAAAGGCUUUGAGUCAACACACCCGUGGAUAAUAAAACUAGUCAGUCUCCCCCGAGAGAGCCAUCCUGCCUGUGAAUGAUCAAAGUAUUCAAUCCAGGUUUAAGUCCUUCAGCAUCUGACAUUCUCCUGGCAACUGUAAUUCAAUCAAUGAUGACUCAUCUGAGAUGAGCAAGUUGGUCCAGUCAGACCAAACAAAAGACACUCUAUAAUCAGGGGAGAAGUCUUCUCUAUAUCUUUCUUAUAUGAGCAAAUUUAAUGACCUCCACCAUGUCUAAGAACAAGCAGCUAUUUCUGUAGAGAAAGAUCACCUUUGGAUAACAAUACAUGAUUUUAGGCUCUAAAAGUUAAAACGUGUUUGUAACGUUGAUAUUAUGCAGAGGUCUUGACAGAACUUAGCAGUCUCUGAGGCUACAGAGAAGUGUGAAAAAGAGCAUAGAGAUUUCAGAAGGAGGCAGAUUCAGUCAGACAUACUGAAUCCUGUUUGAUCUCAAUUCAGGCACACUCCAGAUGGAU